rnacentral:tRNA from 1 species
UAUACUGUGGUAAAAACACUUGUCUAGCACAUAUGAGACCCUGGGUUCAAUCCCCAGCAGUGUAA